AGCAUGCUUCACAAAAACGCCGAGUCGCCGACAGAAACACCCUUUGCCUUGGUUUAUUUUCUUGCUCCGAGAGAGAGACACUCGUAUAAUCAAAAAGAAAAAAAGAAAAAAUCAAAGUCUCAAAAAAACCAGAGGAAAAUCUAAAAAUUACGACUACAUCCCCCAUAGUUGCUACAUCCACAACCUCAAGCCCAAACACCAUUUCUCAACCAAAAAAAAAAAAAAAAAAAAUCCCCCAUCUCUUGCUCUCUCUUCUGCCAUUAUUCCUCCGAUGCCCUAGCACUUCCGGCGCCGGUGCCACUUAUCGCCGGCGGGACUUCCGGCAAGGGCGACUUGAUAGGGUUUUUAGCCGGAUCGUGAGAAUUUAGGGUUCGUUGAAUGGCUCCGGCGCGAAGACGCGGAGCGAACAACAAAGCGAAGGACAAGAAGAGCCAGUUAAGUGUGGGCGAUCUUGUCCUUGCUAAGGUCAAGGGCUUCCCCGCUUGGCCUGCCAAGAUUAGCAAACCUGAAGAAUUUAAGCAUCAGCCUGAUCCCAAGAAACACUUCGUUGAAUUCUUUGGUACAAGAGAAAUAGGUUUUGUUGCCCCUGCGGAUAUUCAGGCAUUCACUAAUGAGGUAAAGAGUAAAUUGUCUGCCCGAUGUCAGGGUAAAACAGUUAGGUUCUUUUCUCAAGCUGUGGACGAAAUUUGUGUGGCGUUUGAUGAGCUACAAAAUAAGAAAUCAAGUGGUUUCAGAGAUGGUGCCGACAAAUCUGAUGUUGGGUGUGAGGCUCUAUCUGUUAAUGAGGUAGAGGUUGACUCAAAGGUUGAAACAGGUAAGGCGACAUACAGUGGAGAUGCUUUGAAUGAGUCUUUAAGUGAUUCUGGCUCUAAGUUGGGGCGCUGCUCACAGAGACGAGGUGGAACUGACAUUCAAGAUGUAAAGCCUUCUAUAUCCUGUAGUGCAGAUGAUAGUUUGUCUCCAGAUAUGUCCCCUGAGAAAAACAAUAGUAAAAGUGGUGGUGGAAACUGUAAGGAACAUGUAUUAAUGACAUCCAGUCCAGAUAAUUCUUCCUUUCCAAAGGAAGAAGCAAGUGAUGAUGAAUUUGUAGAAGAUGCUGUUUGCACUAAGCAACAUGGUAAGGAACAGAAAGUAUUAACAACUGGUAACAAGUUGAAGAAGAUGGGUACUGUGUCAAAGAAAAGACGUGAAGGUGCUGUUGAAGUACACAAAGCUGGUACCUCUGCUGUAAUAUCAUUAAAGGAUGGAAGUGAUGGUUGUUCUGUUGAUCGCCUUGAAUCUGUUGAGCGAUUGAAAGAUGGAAUUAAGGGCAAGAUUGCCUCCAGCAGCAUGCGUGAAUUUUCUCUGAGCCCUCUUAAAGCAGAUUCUGAUAUCAAUGCUGGGAAAAAAUCAAAAGAUCUGCUAAAAGCUAAAAAACAUGUCAUUGUUCCUGAUAAUAUGCUGGACUCUGGUGUUGUUUCUGAUAAACAGAUCAAGGGAAAACUUUCUGGCACGGAAAAGAGGACCCAAGAUAGACAUGGAAAGGCUAAUGAUGGUGCAAAUGAUAUACUUCCUGCCAAAAAAUUGAAGCGUGUAGAUAUAGGGGAUGAUGCCGCACAUGGAUCACAUGCAAAAAGAAUUAAGAGUGUUUCUCCUAAUCCUAAUGUUGACAAGAAGGCGUUAAAAAGGACAGAGUUUAAAAGAUCAACUAUGAGUGUUAAAGCAGAAAGUACUUUGGCUUUAAGAACCCAAACUGGUAUUGUUGGAUCCAAUGCUUCUGGUAAUGAGGCUGUGCUACCUGUAACAAAGCGUCGACGCCGAGCACUGGAGGCUAUGUCUGACUCAGAUACUCUUACUACCGAUGAUAAAACAGAAAUAAUACCUCUUAUAAUGAAGAAUGAUGUGUCAUGUUCUAGUAAUGUGAAGGUUCCAGGAAGCCAGUUGCAUAAAAAACGGAGAGCUGUGUGCCUUUUUGAUGAAGACGAUGAUGAAUCCAAAACUCCAGUCCAUGGUGGAUCUGCCGGAAAUGUCAAAGCACCUUCAUAUGUUUCAGAUGCUACCAAGAGAAGUGAUGCAAAUAAUGAUGGUUCAAAUAAUGCUCAGCAAGGAGUGUCUACUAGAUUUGGGGAUGGCUGUUUAAAGGAAUCUCCCUCCCAAUCACAUAAUGAGUCUCUGUCACCAAGUGAAGUUCAAACUGAUGAGAAGAGGCCUCAAAAGGCAAUGGCUGUGCAAGUUUCCCAUAGUCCAGGGAAAUUAGAAUCUGAGCAAUUGUCAUUCAAGGAGCAAUUGUUGUCCAAGGAUCAGCUGUCAUUCAAGGAGGCUAAGUACGUGUUGGUGUCUCCUGGAAAGUCUCCUCCAUUAGGUCCUGCCCCCAAAUCAGUGGCAGAACAGCAUAAAGUGGCCAAACUUGGGGCUAAAGUUUCUGGUACUGGUACUCAGAAGAAGGGUCAGGCUGUGUCUGCUAAGGGUUUGGGUGUUGUUUCUAAUAGCAUGAACUCUUCUCAGAAUCAAGCAACAAUUCAGAGAAACAGGCCUUCGUCUUCUGGAGAAAGAUCUAAAGCCACUCCUAAAUCAAUAUCAAGGAUUGAUGAAUUGACUCUUUUGUCUGAAAAUUCAGUAGAGUAUAAUUCUUUGCCCGAUGAAAGAGACGAAGCUGGUAGGGAAAAUAAAAAUAGUUCAUUGAUUGAUUCUAAGACUUCAGAAUCUGUUAUGUCCAUGAAGCAUCUUAUUGCAGUAGCACAGGCAAAAAGAAGACAAGCUCACUCUCAAAGUUUCUCUCAUGGAAUUUUCAGUUCUUUCCUGUGUACCACUGAUGUACAGGGAAAUAGCCCGAGUCCAUCUGGAGUGCAGUCUCUUUUAACUGGUGGUGCCAGCAACGUGAUGCAAGCAGAUAUACAAGGAUUUAAUCCUUGCUCAAGUUUGGCUUCUCCAUCAACUCAUGGUCACCAGUCUGCAUUGCGAAAUCAAGUUGAUAUUGAAGAAGUUGAGGAGAGAAGAGGUAGUUCAGGGAACAGGACUGCUGGUGGCUCUCUGAGUGGUGGUACUGAAGCAGCAGUUGCUCGUGAUGCUUUUGAGGGAAUGAUAGAGACUUUGUCAAGGACUAAAGAAAGUAUUGGACGUGCAACUCGUCUUGCUAUUGAUUGUGCGAAGUAUGGCAUUGCCAAUGAGGUUGUGGAACUUCUCAUCCGAAAGUUGGAAACUGAACCUAGCUUUCAUCGUAAAGUGGACUUGUUCUUUCUUGUUGAUUCCAUCACCCAAUGCUCGCAUAGUCAGAAGGGUAUUGCUGGAGCUUCAUACAUUCCCACAGUUCAAGCAGCAUUGCCACGUCUUCUUGGUGCUGCUGCUCCACCCGGAGCUGCUGCUCGUGAAAAUCGUCGUCAGUGUCUUAAGGUUUUACGGUUGUGGCUUGAGAGGAAAAUCAUACCCGAUUCCAUUCUUCGGCCUUACAUGGAUGACAUUGGGGUUUCAAAUGAUGAUACGACCGCUGGUCUUUCACUUAGACGACCAUCACGAGCAGAGCGAGCUGUAGAUGAUCCAUUAAGAGAAAUGGAAGGCAUGCUUGUUGAUGAGUAUGGGAGUAAUGCUACCUUUCAGCUGCCCGGUUUUUUAUCUUCUCAUGUAUUUGAAGAUGAGGAAGAAGAUUUUCCAAGCAGUUCAUUUAAGGAAGCCGGUGAUGCAUCAGCAGAGGAAACCACCCCCGCUUUAGGAGAGUCAGAAACAUGUGCUGUUCUUCCUAAUGACAGGCGCCAUUGCAUUCUAGAGGAUGUGGAUGGUGAGCUCGAAAUGGAAGAUGUUUCAGGACACUUGAAGGAUGAAAGACCCUUGUUCACAAAUGGUUCUUUUGAAAUAGAUUCACAACAUCAGAGUUCAGAUAGGACCAUAGAAACUGCUCCAAACAAUUCCUCUGAGUUACUCCCACUACCAGAGGGUUCUCCUCCGUUGCCUCUCGAUUCUCCUCCUCCUCCACCUCCUUUGCCUCCUUCACCACCUCCACCACCACCACCCCCAUCAUCUCCGUCACCACCACCACCACCACCGCCGCCUCCCUCGUUACAGCCACCACCGCCGCCUCCCUCGUUACAGCCACCACCUCCCCCGUCACAGCCACUACCUCCCCCGUCACAGCCACUACCUCCCAUGUCACAGCUACCCCCUCCUCCUUUGCCACAUUCUGGCCCCCCACCAUCAUUGGUCCCUCCAGCAUCUUUACCAACUCAGUCUUCAUUACUCUCCCAACCAUUUUUACCACCUCAAUUAUCCGUACAGUCUUCACCACAGUUGGCAUAUCAACCACCCAUACCUCAUGAAUAUUGCAGCACAGCUAGUGGCAACCAAAUUGUCCAAAUGGCUGGUCAUGGCGUUCAUGUUGAUAAUGCACUGAAAAGUGAAAUGUUUCCGCAGCAAUCAUCUAGCUUUAUUUCAACAGGAUUAUCCAGUUCUCAAGAACCAUCUGGAUUUAAUUCUUCAAGGCAAUUAGAAUAUGGACACAAUGAUAUUUAUUUAAACCCCCAAAUUUCACAACCUAACCAACCAUUUCAACAAGGUAAUACCUCUUUUACACAAAGACCUUUACACCCUGCCCCACCUCAGAACACAUCCAGUCAUUUCUCUUAUACAAAGCCGGCAGUUCAGCAACAUCCUCAGCAUCCGUACCCACGUCCAUACUCUUUACCAUCUCCUCUGGAUAGCCAGAGGCGAUUUGUUGCUGAUGAACAAUGGAGGAUGCCAUCAAGUGACUUUAAAACAAAUCAGCGUGGUGGGUGGAUGAAUGGAGGGAGAACACCAAAUGGAGAAAGAACUCCCUCAUGUUCAGGACCUACCUAUGGCCAGGAAGGUUAUUUUCAUCCACCUCUUGAGAGGCCACCAGCAAAUAAUAUUGGUUUUCAGCAUCCUGCCCCUAAUAAUCUACCUGCUGGAGCUCCAAUAGCAGGUCAUGGCGUCUCCCAGAUGUUUCCAUGUAGACCAGACAUUUCUGCCCUUAAUUGUUGGCGGCCAGCUUGAUAGUCUAAACUAAGAACUUCAGUGAUCAUUUUGUCUUCUCUACUGUGGGUGCCACAACACGUGGCAAAGGAUUAUUACAUAAUGCCUCAGAGUGAGAUUCAGUUUCAGGCCAAAAUCCGACUACCACUUGAAGGCAGUGUUAAGAACUAGUGGAGGCUCUUGGCAGGACUGUGUAUAUUGUAAUUUUUCCUGACAAAUGUAUCCCUGGGAACAUUUGCUUCCAAGUGUAGGCCCAUGUUUCUGACUUGGUUAUGGAAAACCACUAAAAAUUGAAACGCUCAUCAUUUUGGCGAUUUCCAAUUUGGUCACGCAUCAUGUUGAGGUAAAUACAAUACUUCGUGGCAGAAAUUACUACUGCAAAAUGUUGAGGUAAAUAUUUGAGGUUCUUGGCAGGAUAAUGCUCAUAUAUUUGUUAAUCAAGUACAAUUUUCAUGAGGGUAAUUGUACCGUUGUAGCUAUAGUUAUCUUAUGCUUCAGAACUGCGGAUGCUUUAUUUUUCCAAUAGCUUUUGAUUUUGUUGUAUGUAAUUUGCUUCUCUCUGAAAAACUUCCGAGCAUUUUCUCCUGAUGAGUGGAGUAUGAUACUCGUACAUGCUGCAUAGUCACACAGAGACUGUUACACACAGCAAUUGGUUGUUCAUUACUCAUUAUUCAUUUCUUUACAAGUCUUCUUU